UACGGAGGGUGCGAGCGUUAUUCGGAAUCACUGGGCGUAAAGGGCGCGUAGGCGGCCUGGUAAGUCAGGGGUGAAAUCCCACGGCUCAACCUAGGAAUUGCGCUUGUGACUGGCAGGCUCGAGUACGGUAGAGGGGGGUGGAAUUCCUGGUGUAGCAGUGAAAUGCGUAGAGAUCAGGAGGAACACCGAUGGCGAAGGCAGCCCCCUGGGCCUGUACUGACGCUCAUGCACGAAAGCGUGGGGAGCAAACAGG
rnacentral:rRNA from 1 species